CCGGGGCCUGAUGCAGGGCGGGCGUGGCCGAGUCAGGUGGGACCCCAGGCCACGAGGGAUGCGGGGCGAGCCCCGACCACAUGGCUCGGGAGGGGGCAGUGCAGCUCCCUGGGGGAAACGGGGGCUGCUGCUAGACUAGGAGACCGGCAGGAGCCAGGUGCCAUUUGGAUCUGUGGUUUUCCUCCUAAGAAACGCUGCCACGGAGGCCUGUCCCCUUCCUGGCUGACAGCCCAGGACAAAGGGAGACACCACAGCUUGUCCCAGAAGCACAGAACCGCCCGCAGUCAGACCCCUGGUCCCGGACUCGUGCUGCCCCGCCCCCGCCCCCAUCACAGCCCGGAUCCCCUCGGACCCCUGCUACACCGACCUGACUCCCACCCAUUCCCUGCUUCACACGCCCAGCAGCAGGGCCAGGAGCCCAGGACCGCAGGCAGGAGGGGCAGAAGUAAAGGAAUUGCAGCCGCAUUCCUCAGAGCACAGCCUCUUUUUCAAACAGAGCAAAAUAAAAAAGGCAUCUCAGGGCCCCCCUUCCACUCCUGCUCGGCUUCUGGGGGAAAUGCAGCGGGUGGGGAGGUUGGCGGAGGUGGGUGGUGCUGCCACCAGCUCCGCGGGCUCUGCUGUGAGCGCUUCCCUUACAAGGAGCUCGGCUGGAAGCCCUUUCCGAGCGAGGGAGGAGGACGGAAAUGGCUUUCCGGCACCUUCCGCUGGGCGGCUCCUGCCUCUCACUGACCGAGGGCUGCAUCACUUCCCAGGGAUUUGGCCUCCUGGAGAGGGGCGGCCCGGCUUCCAAAAAAGGAAUUUUCACUCAGUGCCCUGAUGCCUUGACUCAGCCCUCUCUCUGACUCAGCGCCCUUUCCUUACUGCGUCCAGGGGCUCCCUGGCCUGUUCUAAGGGGGAUUAAGCAGGAGGAGAAUGUGGAACGGACAGGGGUCUUGGAAGCGGGUUACAUUCAAAAGAAGUAUGGCUUAGAGUCUGGGAGUUUCUGAAUGAGCUCCUCCACAACAACCUGCAUCCACCCACGGGCCUCCUAUCUCCUGCUCCCGCUCCUGUGUGAUGAAUAAAUUGUGUGCAAAAAGAAAACUCUGGACGUUUCCUCUCUCCUUUCUGCCAUCUUCCUCUCUGGGGAUGCGGGUUCCUUUCUCCGAUGAUUGAUGAUCGUAGUUUCUACAAAGGAGCUGGAUUUUGCUCUGGCAGUUUUCAGUCAGUCUGCGGCAGGGACCCCGGGGCCUCGUCACCAGCAGGAACCCAGUGCUUUCUCUGGGUGCGGAGCUCUCCCUUCUGUGCAGUGAGGCCUGCAGCUGGCCAGAGCUUCUGACCUGCACGCCUGGGGGCUCCCCUCCCAGCCCACCACCCAGACUCCGGUGACGUGACGGCAGACAGAGCAGGACUGGCCUCAGGGCUCCAGAGAUGGAGAGGAAGCCAGGAACCACGUCGCCCUGAGUUGCGACAGGUGCGGUGGGUACCUGCCUGGAGAGGACGGUGGGUGAACACAUCGCGGAAGGACCAGGCCCCCUCCCGGCACCGGGACCCUCUGUUUCUCCCUGGAAAGGAUGAGCGAGCCACGUGGCAGACGUUACUAAACCUCACGAGGAUUAUAGUCAGGACCUAACGGUGUCCAGGACGCAGUAAGGACUGUUGAAGAAAACAGGGAAUAAAUCAAUGAAUCAUCAUUGAAGACUUAAACAAGCCCAGUGGUCUCAAGCGAGCCAGCAAGGUUGCCUUCUACAACCAGGGACGGAGAGGUGCGUUUAUGGGGUACCAACCACACAUGCCGAGCACCUGCUCUGUGCGGGGCGCCAAGAGACAAAGAAGACUUUCCAUACCCCCCACAGUAUGCCCAGCGACCCUGCGGGGCUACAGUUACAGCCCACGUCCCCCUGCGGCAGAGCCGAAAUGAAGCCCACCUGCCCGACCUCAGACUCCCUGCGGCACUGACCUUUCUUAGUGACUCAGCUUUAUACAUGAAUUUCUUCUUCAUUGUGCACUUCCUGGAUACAUGCUCACUACUUCCUUAAAAACAGAUGACUCAGGACUAUCAGAUUGCAUUUUAGGUGAGCUGGGUUUUGUCUGAUGUAACUUAGGAUGGGUGUUGAUCAGUCAUAGGAUGUGAGAGCUGGCAGGGAAUUUAAAGACCGUCUGGUCCUACUCACUCACCUGCAAAUGAGGAGACUGACUUGUCUGAAUUUAGAGCUUCCAGGAGGCAGGGUUGAGCACCUCGUCAGAGUUUCAAUUCACUUCCCGCGCGCACGUAGAACAAAACAGGCUGCAGUCACCCUCCGUGCGGCCUUCCUCUGGCCCUCCAGGGGUUUACCAUCACACAUCCUACCCUGUCUGGACUCUUGUCUAGAAAAGGCACAGAAAACGGAGUUGUACUUUUGUUCCCAACCCUGCACAAGAUCGGCUGAAGUGGGGUGUGUGUGUGUGGGGGUACCUGUCACCUGUUCACCACCGUCCGGAUGAACCCAACACAGAGGCAGGUGGGGCGGGCAGAGCUGCGAGCAAGAGCCCGGCCUCCUUUGAUGUCCAGUUAUCCUACUAGUUGGGCAGCCUGGCUGUUGACUGCAUCCCAGCCAGCACGGUGCCGGCACAGGGCAGACACACAGCUCACGCUGGUGGGUUGGGUUGGACCCGAAGGAGCUGUGUCCCCAGCUGCCUGGUGACCAUCAUGGAAGGAAUAGGGAUUCACACACCAUCCCCACACAUACUUGGCUCCUGUGGACCAAGGGAACCUGCCCUGGUUUUGAAGACCUCCAGCCUUUGGAAGCCCUUCGGGGACGUCCUCCUUGUCCCUGGGAGCUGCCAUCCUGGCCUCCGGCCACUCCACACUCCUCUGACCCUCUCUGUCCCCAGUCAGGAAGCAAAGCCCAUCACCACGCCAUCACCUAGAGAGCCCCGGGACUGCUGCCGGCUGGCUGAGCUCCCCACUGGCCGGCUAAAUCCUUCAGUUCAUCCUCCACCACCACCAUUUUGUUUGCAGUUUCCAAACCGACGGGAGAGUUGAAAGAACAAUCCCGAAGCAAAAUGCACACCCACACCUUGUCUGGGCUGGGCUUUGUGAACACUCAGCCACAUGUCUUCCCCUCUGAGUACACACGCCCACCCUUCCUAUGAAGCACGUGAAAGCAGGCUGCCUGUACCCCCAACAUCUCAUUAUCACACUUAAAAUAACAUCGGUUAGAUAUGAUCCACGCUCCACACCUGUUCUCCAAAGGCCUGUUGGAGAUGAAAACAACCGCAGCACUUGGAUCCCAUCAGGGCCGCUGUCUCUCCCUCGCGGUUCUUUCCCCUCCCUUCAUCUUUUUAAAAUCCUGAACAAUCUUUGUGGCUUUAUUCUGAACUCUCUUCGAGUUUCCCAGAUCUUCUGUAAUCAGAUUUACACAGAAAUAAAAGGCCCUGCACCCCAUGACUUGCUCAUCCAGCAAGGCAGCCCCCCGGAGGCCCCCACUCUGGCCACCUUCCCUGUUGAGAAAGGGAGGCUCUUCAUCCUAAAGUAAAACCGGAGGUGGUUGCUGCUGUUUGAGAUGCUGAGCCUGGAAAGGCAGGUCUCAUUUUUUCAGUGGAAUAACUGAAAUUCAUGAGGCAGAGGGCAGCUCAUCAGGCAGAGGGCCGAAUGGUCUAACCCACACACCUCCCCAAGCAUUAGGUGCUCUGUGACCCUGUGUUACAGGGUCUGGGUCUCUGGCCCCGCCGUGAUCACGCGAGGGAUGCAGUCAGGUCCUGACCUCCGGGGGCCUCGCACUGGGCGGAGCCGCAGCCCCUGGGCCUCUGGAAUAAGUGUCCCUCUCACAUCCACUUGGCCUGUGAGCCUGGUGUUCUGGUUGGUCAAAUAUUUGUUUAAAUACAAUAUAUGA